rnacentral:rRNA from 1 species
UAGGGAAUCUUCCGCAAUGGGCGAAAGCCUGACGGAGCAACGCCGCGUGAGUGAUGAAGGUCUUCGGAUCGUAAAACUCUGUUAUUAGGGAAGAACAAAUGUGUAAGUAACUAUGCACGUCUUGACGGUACCUAAUCAGAAAGCCACGGCUAACUACGUGCCAGCAGCCGCGGUAAUACGUAGGUGGCAAGCGUUAUCCGGAAUUAUUGGGCGUAAAGCGCGCGUAGGCGGUUUUUUAAGUCUGAUGUGAAAGCCCACGGCGAAACCGUGGAGGGUCAUUGGAAACUGGAAAACUGGAGUGCAGAAGAGGAAAGUGGAAUUCCAUGUGUAGCGGUGAAAUGCGCAGAGAUAUGGAGGAACACCAGGGGCGAAGGCGACUUUCUGGUCUGUAACUGACGCUGAUGUGCGAAAGCGUGGGGAUCAAACAGG